GGGUGACCCGUUACCGGCGCUGCCGCAGCGGCGGCUCGACCCGCCGCGGCGGCCCGGGAAACGGCGAGCGGAGCGGCGGACGGCCGGGUCGUACUCACCGGGCCGGUUAGCGCUAGAGACAGGCCCUCUGACGUCAGGGGGGUCCCGUCUCCGCCUCCCAGACGCGAGGGGGCGCUCUGCGCCGCGAGGGGGCUCCAGACGGCCGCCGAUCCGGCAGGAUCUGCCCGCUUCCAGGGCCCGGGCGCCCGGCGGGAACCCCCCUGCCGGGCCCCGCCGGCCUCGGCUCGGCUCAGAGUUCAGGACUGACGGUUUUCCCGGAGGUUCCUUGUUGUCAGGUCACGUUGUAGCCCUCCGCCGCCACCGACCGGGCUUCCCCUGCACACGGCCCCGCAGCAGGGGCCCAACAGCCGGGACGGGUUCCGGGGCGGCGCCCGGAGAACGCAGGCCUCUCCCGGUCCAAAACAUCCAGGAAAUCCCCUUCUCUGCUUUUCCAAGGAACACCGCGAUGAAUUUACUUCCACAAACAACAGAGUAGAUCCGGAGUAUGGAGGACCAAACAUGCAAAAACCAAGAAUAAACAGAAAUAGAUCACUGUGCUGACUGAACUCACAAAUUAAACAAAAACAACAAAACUGGUUUUAUUUUUAUCUUUAGAAAAAAACGUGAUACAGGUUGAUAUUAAUAUUUAGAUCUAGCACUUAAAAUGUAUUUUUGUUUUAAUGUGAUUAUUAAAAUAAAAUUUUAAAUGAUUUCCCCCUUUUUAGUUUUUUAUAAAGUGACUCUUUAAUAUAAUUAUUUACACAACUGAUGUUGGUAUAUUUACUUCAUCAGCCAUUUUAGAUUUUUUUACCUCUCCAAUUUUUCUCCAUCAAAUUGUUUCCUCCACAUUUAUCUACAUGUAAUGUUUUCUAAGCUGAUGGCUUAAAAAUCUGAAUAACAGUUUAAAAACUAUAAAUAUUGUU